UACCGUCAGCCACCUACACGUAGAUGGGUUUCUUCCUAUAUAAAAAGCAGUUUACAACCCAUAGGGGCCGUCUUCCUGCACGCGGCAUGGCUGGGUCAGACUUUUCGCCCAUUGCCCAAUAUUCCUC
rnacentral:rRNA from 1 species